rnacentral:piRNA from 1 species
UGCUAGUUUCCUCGAAGACUCACAUG